GUCGCUGGCAACAUUGCAUGCCACACGGAAGUUUCAGUUCUUUUUUUUUUGUUCCAUCAAAUGGUUUAUUUAUUGGAGAAUAGAAACGUGUUGCGUGCGCGAUAAUGUGUGAUGGAGCACAAUUUGUCACCGUUGGGUUUUAAUGACGAUGACGAAGAUAUGGGUUGGUAAAAGAUGACUUCAUAGCUGCUUAUGAAUUAUUUAAAGUGGCCAAUGUUCGCGGUCUCAGCUCACACCUUACCAUAUUUUUUUUUGGCAAAUAAACCAGUUUUCCACUGCCACGCUAUUUUUACUUUUGUUUGAGUGUUGAAGUUUUGACAAAAAAGAAGCGAUAUGAAAAUUGUUCCGAUUGUAAUUUCACGGCACGUUUCAACCAUUUCAAAUGGCAAAUCAAUAAUAAUGGAAGAUAAAUCGAUGGUCGAAAUCCUUGAGCUCUAUACCAUAUGAUUUGGUUUGAAUAUACAAUUUAAUGAUUUGUACUUUAAAAGGAAAAUUGUGAUGGAUCGCAAAGAACGAUAUUUUGUAAAAAAAAAACGAAUUAUGCCAGAGUUGCAAUGAACCUUACCUGGAAUGGGUAGUACUUUGGUGAGUCGCUCAUGUUGACGCUUUUUUUUAUAUAUAUCUGAAAUGAAAAAAAUUGAACGAAUCAAUAAUCGAACGGAACAUGUGUUUAUAUAUGGAAUAAUAAUUGGAUUUGUUGUGUGCAGGGUUUGAGCUUUGAGGUUGUUUGUGAUUGGAUGUAAACGUCGUUUGAACUUUAUCAAGUACUUGAACAAAUAAAGGACGUAUUCUGUUUUGAUGGGUCGGUUGUGAAUUAUUUCUAACGUCAAAACCAACAUAUAUCCUUGACAAGGACAUGGGAACUAGAACACUUGCGGCGAAUACAAAUGCAUGCUAAGUUCAUUUAAUAUUCCAAAAUGAUCGCUCUUUGUUUGGAUGUAAUACGUUUUUCCCUUCUACUAGAUUACUAUGCCGAGUCGAUUCAACAGUGACAAAGACUUUGAUUUGUAUCAUAAUCACUUUGACAAUAAUAAAAUUACUCGGUAUAAUUGCCCGCAGAACCACAAACAAUGUGCUACAGUGAUUUGUUUAUAAACGAUGACAGCAUCAAAUUCCAAUGUAAUGUCAAUCUCGACAAAUUUUCCAAUUCCAGCCAUCAUCCAAUUUGUCGAAGUCGUUACGUAUUUAAUGAGUCAUGUUUG